UACGUAGGGUGCAAGCGUUGUCCGGAAUUAUUGGGCGUAAAGAGCUCGUAGGCGGUCUGUCGCGUCUGCUGCGAAAACCCGGGGCUCAACCCCGGGCUUGCAGUGGAUACGGGCAGACUAGAGUUCGGUAGGGGAGACUGGAAUUCCUGGUGUAGCGGUGAAAUGCGCAGAUAUCAGGAGGAACACCGGUGGCGAAGGCGGGUCUCUGGGCCGAUACUGACGCUGAGGAGCGAAAGCGUGGGGAGCGAACAGG
rnacentral:rRNA from 1 species